rnacentral:rRNA from 1 species
AUUGAACGCUGGCGGCAUGCCUUACACAUGCAAGUCGAACGGCAGCACGGGAGCAAUCCUGGUGGCGAGUGGCGAACGGGUGAGUAAUAUAUCGGAACGUGCCCAGUCGUGGGGAUAACGUAGCGAAAGCUACGCUAAUACCGCAUACGAUCUAUGGAUAAAAGCGGGGGAUCGCAAGACCUCGCGCGAUUGGAGCGGCCGAUAUCAGAUUAGGUAGUUGGUGAGGUAAAGGCUCACCAAGCCGACGAUCUGUAGCUGGUCUGAGAGGACGACCAGCCACACUGGAACUGAGACACGGUCCAGACUCCUACGGGAGGCAGCAGUGGGAAUUUUGGACAAUGGACGCAAGUCUGAUCCAGCCAUUCCGCGUGCAGGAUGAAGGCCCUCGGGUUGUAAACUGCUUUUGUACGGAACGAAACGGUGAGGCUCUAAUACAGUUUGCUAAUGACGGUACCGUAAGAAUAAGC